GAUGAACGCUGGCGGCGUGCCUAAUACAUGCAAGUCGAACGAAAAUUCGUUAUCCUUGAUUGCCUGCCCUUACCGAUAGAGGGUUGAGUGACAAACGGGUGAGCUACAUAUAAGCCACGUGCCACUACGAGAAGGCGAACCCAAGGACACAGGUGCUAUUAACGCAUAACCAUAGUUACUGCAUGGUAACUAUGUAGAAAGUUGCUAUACUACCCCUUUUGCAUGGGCCCGCGGCGCAUUAGCUAGUUGGUAAGGGAAAGGCUUACCAAGGCAACGAUGCGUAGCCGAACUGAGAGGGUGAUCGGCCACAUUGGGACUGAGACACGGCCCAGACUCCUACGGGAGGCAGCAGUAGGGAAUCUUCCGCAAUGGGCGAAAGCCUGAUGGAGCAACGCCGCGUGAGUGAAGAAGGUCUUCGGAUCGUAAAACCCUGUUGUUAGGGAAGAAAGUGUGUGAGAGUAACUGUUCACGUUUCGACGGUAUCUAACCAGAAAGCCACGGCUAACUACGUG
rnacentral:rRNA from 1 species